rnacentral:rRNA from 1 species
AGUUUGAUCCUGGCUCAGGACGAACGCUGGCGGCGUGCUUAACACAUGCAAGUCGAACGAUGAAGCCUUUCGGGGUGGAUUAGUGGCGAACGGGUGAGUAACACGUGGGCAAUCUGCCCUUCACUCUGGGACAAGCCCUGGAAACGGGGUCUAAUACCGGAUAACACUCUGUCCCGCAUGGGACGGGGUUAAAAGCUCCGGCGGUGAAGGAUGAGCCCGCGGCCUAUCAGCUUGUUGGUGGGGUAAUGGCCUACCAAGGCGACGACGGGUAGCCGGCCUGAGAGGGCGACCGGCCACACUGGGACUGAGACACGGCCCAGACUCCUACGGGAGGCAGCAGUGGGGAAUAUUGCACAAUGGGCGAAAGCCUGAUGCAGCGACGCCGCGUGAGGGAUGACGGCCUUCGGGUUGUAAACCUCUUCAGCAGGGAAGAAGCGAAAGUGAC